GUCUACAGCCAUACCACCCUGAACGUGCACGAUCUCGUCUGAUCUUGGAAGCUAAGCAGGGUCGGGCCUGGUUAGUACUUGGAUACGAGAAAGUAAGAAAGAGAAGAGAAAAUCGUCGAAGAUA
rnacentral:rRNA from 1 species